UCCCUAAUGGAGUAAGUCUCUAUAUCUCUGAUCGUUGAAUUUCAUGUCUGUAUCAGUGUCCUGCUCUUCAUCCCCCCAGGUGCUGCCCAUCCGCUCUGCCAAGCUGGGGAUUUCUAUCUUUCUCAUUUUAGCAGGACCUUGGAGAAAUCUAUCAAAAGCAAAUUAAUAAGUUAUGUUUCCUCAGAUAUAAAACUGAAAUUCUGAUAUACAACUCACAGAGAUUUGGGAUGGAAUGAGCCAAUAUAUAUAAAAUGUCCAGGUAGAUGUCUAGAAGCCGGGCAUGAUGGAAGAUACUAAGAUAUGGCCCCUGUCCUCAAAGACCUUGCAUUGUUGUAAGAAAGAGAACAUUAAAACACCAGAAAAUAAUGAAGAGCAAGAAAAGCCAGGAAUAGCCCAUAAUCAACUUCUACGUGACAGAGGUUAGACCCUAAGUGAAACAGGAAUUCAGAAAAAAAUGGUGAUCGCUGUCGGAGAGUGGUUACGUGUGUGAGGCUUCAUGGUGGUUGAGGGGAUGAGACAAGGAAUGUCAAUGAAGGGGAAAGAAAGAAGCUGAACUGCAAGACCAGGAGCACUAAAGGUGCUCAGGACAAAACCCAGGAGUCACCAUUAAUGCCUGUCUUCUGCAUUGAUCAUCCAGUCUGCCCAUGAAUCCUGUCUGCUCUACCUUCAAUGUAUUUCCACAAUUUGAACACACCUCCUGUCAACCCACCACCACUACUAGGGUCAAAGCCAUCCUGAUUCCUAACCAGUCUGCUGCUUUCCACCCUUGCCUCCUCACAUCUGCAUUCAACACAGGAGUAACGGUGAGGCUUUUCAAAUACAAGUGAGAUUCUGAUACUCUGCUCAAAACCCUCAAUGGCAGAUCUUGUAAACGUCAAGUCCUUAAAACAGCUGAAGUCCCUCUAUGACCUGGCUUCUCCUGCCUUUAUGCCCUCACAUGCCAGUCCUCCCUCCUUGCUCCUUUGGCACCAGCCACACAGACCUUUCAUUCCUCAAACACAUCAGCAGGGUCCCUCUUUAGUGCCUCUGCACCUGCUGCUUCCUUUGUCUUUCCUUGGCACCCUCAGGACCCACUCCUUCUCCUCCAGUGCCAGCCUUUCCUUUCCCAUUCUACAGCUGCUCUCUGCCUCCCCAUCCUGCUUUAAUUUUCUCCCUAGCGUUCAUCUCUCCUUUAUUUGUGCACAUUUUAUUUUUUUUAAGUCUGCCUCCCCACAUUAAAAGUUAAGAAGGCAGAAAUUGGCAUAUAAUAGGGCUUAAAAAUAUUGGUUGAGUAGAAAAAUGAAUUAACAAAACUUAAACACUACAUGUUCUCACUCAUGAGUGGGAGUUGAACAAUGAGAACACAUGGACACAGAGAGGAGAACAUCACACACCAGGGCCUU